CUUGUCAUUAUGUUAAAACACUCAUUGUUUCCAUGAUGUAUUUACAAAAUAUAAUUAAUUGGUGCAUUUAUAGUUUGCUUGUUCCAUGGAAAUGUUUUGUGGAAUUAUUGAAAAUGAUUUGUAUGCCUUUGUUAAGGAUCGUCAUGUUAGGACUGCAUAUCAUAUCUGGACACUGGAAGCAACACGCAUUCAUCUACAAUUACAACGCAGAUGAAAGAGAAUGGAAUUUGUUGAAAAAUAUGAUAUCAACGAAAGUCGCAAUAGAGGAGGCAACGUGUAUACUGGUUCUUAUAAAGUACGAUCACACAAGGAUAGAAAAUUGCGUAAGCCCUUGCAUUGAGAAAAUGAUGGCAGAUGAAAAAAUGAGAGAUAAAACAAAAAUCCUUAUUAUUUACAAUGAGAAACAUCAUGGAUACUUUGAUGAUGAAAGAAUCGCUGGUUUGUGGAACUGUACAAUGUAAAACAAAUAAACAUAGAGGUUUUAAAAAAAAGAGGUAAAGUGUUCCUCUACCUUUAUUUCACAAUACAUAAUGUCUAAAUUUACUAGACUUUCAUGUUUACAUUUUUUUUCUACUGACUCAAUGAUUGAACUAAAAAUACUAUAAAAAGUCAAUGUAUUUGCUUACAUUCUUGAAUCAUAUAUAUUGAUUGUGAUGUGUUAUUGUUUUGUUCUAUGUCUUUGGCGAUUACCCUGUGCCAUUAAAUUUGAUUUAUGUUUAAACUUCUGGCUACUGAGUUUGUUUCUGU